rnacentral:lncRNA from 1 species
GGGAAGCGCGUAAGAGCGGUCGAAUAGUCUGAGCUCCGCUGGGCUAUUCACGAAGCGCGCUUUUGUGCGUGCUUUAUAUCGGGAACGCUUUCGGGCACAACCGCUGCUGGUUUGGGAGGCGGCACUCCCGAGGGUCCCCUCCCGCACGGGGACGCCCAGGUAGGAGCGAUCCGGCUCCGAGCGGCAGCGGUCUCCAGACCGGUCCGUGUCGGGACCAUUCACGGCGUCCUCCUCGGCGGCCGUAUGUGAUGCCCUCCCGGCAACACCCCCAAAAGAAGCGGGCUGCCGGGGCCGGCCCCGCCGAGUCCUUCCCGAGGGCCGUUCGCUUUCCGUGGGUGCAGAAGCGGGCACAGCUCGGGGUGAGGCGCAGGGCGAGGGGCGGGCGACGGCGAGUGGAUGCUACACCGCGACCUCUGCGAAAACGACCCCAGCCCGUCUCCUGCCACUCAACCACCCCGGCGUGUGCCAAGGGCCGGCCGCAGGCCGCAAUGCCCGCCGGUGCCGUCACGUAAGUGGGGAGAAGCCCGGAAUGCUCUCCUCCGCUUUUCCAGCUCCCGCCGGGGAAAUCCCGGGGUGAAGCACGGCGGGGGUCGGGCGGCUGCUCCGAGACCACUGCUUCCUCCUGGGAGGGAGCGAUGCGAGGAGCGGGCUCACCUCGCCGGAAGGGCUGCAGAGACGGGGACACCUUUCACCCCUCUCCCCCCGCCCUUUGGCAGAGCCUCGCUCUUGGAAACCGUCUCCGGUUUAUUUUCUCAUUGGGUUAUUUGGCGUGGUCACUUCAGAGCUGCGGGCUCCUUUUGCACCGGACCGAGAUCUGAAGGCGGCCUAUUUAUAACGGCACUGGGAAAGAGGAGAAAAAGUCCUUGCGUUAGGCUUCCCAAAGUGUUAUUUGUAUUAUUAGUGUUAUUAUUAUUAUUUUUCCAGCGGGACAAAGAUCGAGUCUUUAUUUCAGGAGCGGACUUUGCCCAGCAACAGACCCGCUGCACCUCCCGGCUCUGCCGCGCACCCGGCACCGGGCGGGGCUGUGCCCGGAGGCCGAGUUGA